CUUUGGGAUCUACAGUAAAUGUGCAUCAUUGGGACCUACAGUAAAUGUGCCACUAUAAAGAAACACCACAAUCCAUCUGAUGCUUCUAAGCAUACAUGAUUUAGAAAAGACCAUAGAAUGGAAGAUUACUGUGGCAUGACUUGACGAAAGGUGAUUUCCAUCAUCUAAUGGAAACUCCAAAGUCCUUUCACUUAUCAUCUAAGUCUUGUCAUCCAACAAUAUGAUUCAAGCAUUUGAAAUGAUGGCAAUUGUUGUGGUUUUGGUUUAUAACAACUUAAAGAUUUAGCUUAAUCAUCAUAGGU